CCGAUAUUUUUAUGUGUAAAACGUGGUGAAUUCGCGAAAAAAAGUGCGGUAUUAAUGGAAAUAAUCGUGAUUAUUUAGUGUUAAUUAACCCUUCGUGUAUUAUAAUUUCCAUCUAGUGCGAAAAUCUAACCACUUCGAGUGUGAAAACCCCUCGAGUUAGAGUAAGAUAGCUACCCCUUUCGUUCGCUACUCCUUCGGUUUCAUUGUGCCAGUUUCGCAGGGAAAAUUGCGGUGAAUUCGGGUAAAUUGCGAGUAACUUCGGGAUAUUGUGAUAUUUUAGUGUUAAUUACAUCCAGAAUUUCAUAUAAUUUCCAACCAGAGUGAAAUUUGAACCUGUAUGAACGAUUGUAUUGAGUUGGAGUAAAUGGUACACUGGUACACUCAUUCCUUCUGCGGCUCUCCAGUCUCCGGUGACCAUUUCGGCGGUUUUUUUGGUUCUUUCACAUAUGAGAGACGACCUGUCAACGUUCUGAGCCAGGUGCGUUGCAUCUCCAACUCCAGCUUCUGUCUGCAGCACCCACAUCACUCGGCUCUCGGAUGGGUUUCUUUUGAAAUGCACACAUUUCGGUUACAGGUGGAGCUGGAGGUGUUGAAGAGAAAAGGCAAUUGAAGCUUUUGUCCAUUCAGGUGUGACCGGUAUCCUGGACGUGGACUUUUGGACAUUACGGCUAUACGAAUAUAUAUACGGACAAUUCACCGAAGAAGACGGUUAAAAAGUCGAGGAAUUAAAACGAAAUCAGUGUAAAAGAAUAGAACAGGCACCCUGGCAACAAGAGAAAGACGUCGAGCUGUUCCAGGGAGGUAUGUAUGCACAAUUCACUGUCUACUGUUUUGGAAUCAGAAGUCAUGCAGGCUUGAAGUUGAGAAUUGAAUCAAAUCAACAUUUAGUAAAACGCCUCAUGGAAGUUUGAGGAAUGAACGAUUCAAUGAACAAAGCUUUGGAAUCAGAGCUUUGCAACACUGGAUGUUGACCAGAGGACGACCUAGUAUAUUGUGAUAGAAAGGUCCUCAUCAUUACUCUUGUUUUCUUGGUAAAUGCUCUAAAUCGCAUAUAAUGAGAGAAAGCUGGUGUAAAAUUGAGCAGUAAAA